rnacentral:rRNA from 1 species
UACGUAGGGUGCGAGCGUUAAUCGGAAUUACUGGGCGUAAAGCGUGCGCAGGCGGCGCGUUAAGACAGGUGUGAAAGCCCCGAGCUUAACUUGGGAAUUGCGCUUGUGACUGGCGUGCUGGAGUGUGGCGGAGGGAGGUGGAAUUCCACGUGUAGCAGUGAAAUGCGUAGAGAUGUGGAGGAACACCGAUGGCGAAGGCAGCCUCCUGGGCCAGCACUGACGCUGAUGCGCGAAAGCCAGGGGAGCGAACGGG